rnacentral:tRNA from 1 species
GUAUAAUGUCCUAGUGGACAUGGCAUCUGCCCGGUAAGCGGAACGCUGUGGGUUCGAUUCCCAUCCCUAGAUACU